rnacentral:rRNA from 1 species
GACGGAGAGUUUGAUCCUGGCUCAGGGUUAACGCUGGCGGCGCGCAUAACACAUGCAAGUCGAGCGAGGGCUUAUUUCUCGCAAGAGAGAUAAGUUCCUAGCGGCGAACGGGUGAGUAACACGUGGGCAACCUUUCCUAUCGCGGGGGAUAACACCGGGAAACCGAUGCUAAUACCGCAUGUCGUCACCGGUCACAUGGCUGGUGAAGAAAGCAGCAAUGCACGAUGGGGUGGGCCCGCGGCCUAUCAGCUAGUCGGUGGGGUAACGGCCUACCGAGGCGAUGACGGGUAGCUGGUCUGAGAGGACGGCCAGCCACACGGGGACUGAGACACGGCCCCGACUCCUACGGGAGGCAGCAG